AGGGGGCGAAGGCCUGAUCCAGCAAUGCCGCGUGCAGGAUGAAGGCCCUCGGGUUGUAAACUGCUUUUGUACGGAACGAAAAGCCUGGGGCUAAUAUCCCCGGGUCAUGACGGUACCGUAAGAAUAAGCACCGGCUAACUACGUGCCAGCAGCCGCGGUAAUACGUAGGGUGCAAGCGUUAAUCGGAAUUACUGGGCGUAAAGCGUGCGCAGGCGGUUUUGUAAGACAGUGGUGAAAUCCCCGGGCUCAACCUGGGAACUGCCAUUGUGACUGCAAGGCUAGAGUGCGGCAGAGGGGGAUGGAAUUCCGCGUGUAGCAGUGAAAUGCGUAGAUAUGCGGAGGAACACCGAUGGCGAAGGCAAUCCCCUGGGCCUGCACUGACGCUCAUGCACGAAAGCGUGGGGAGCAAACAGGAUUAGAUACCCUGGUAGUCCACGCCCUAAACGAUGUCAACUGGUUGUUGGGUCUUAACUGACUCAGUAACGAAGCUAACGCGUGAAGUUGACCGCCUGGGGAGUACGGCCGCAAGGUUGAAACUCAAG
rnacentral:rRNA from 1 species